UCCGGUUUGUCACCGGCAGUCUCACAUGAGUCCCCAACUUAAUGCUGGCAACAUGCGACGGGGGUUGCGCUCGUUGCGGGACUUAACCCAACAUCUCACGACACGAGCUGACGACGGCCAUGCAACAUCUGUCACCUAUCCAGCCGAACUGACCCCCUAGUUUCUUAGGGGUACGAUAGGGAUGUCAAGCCUUGGUAAGGUUCUUCGCGUAGCAUCGAAUUAAACCACAUGCUCCACUGCUUGUGCGGAGCCCCGUCAAUUCCUUUGAGUUUUAAUCUUGCGAUCGUACUCCCCAGGCGGCACACUUAUCGCGUUAGCUUUCCAGCACAGAGGGUCGAUACUCCAUACUAGUAGUGUGCAUCGUUUGCAGCGUGGACUAC
rnacentral:misc_RNA from 1 species